rnacentral:rRNA from 1 species
GUGUCAGCCGCCGCGGUAAUACGUAGGGUGCGAGCGUUAAUCGGAAUUACUGGGCGUAAAGCGUGCGCAGGCGGUUUUUUAAGAUAGGCGUGAAAUCCCCGGGCUUAACCUGGGAACUGCGCUUAUGACUGGAAGACUAGAGUACGGCAGAGGGGGGUGGAAUUCCACGUGUAGCAGUGAAAUGCGUAGAGAUGUGGAGGAACACCGAUGGCGAAGGCAGCCCCCUGGGCCGAUACUGACGCUCAUGCACGAAAGCGUGGGGAGCAAACAGGAUUAGAUACCCUGGUAGUCCACGCCCUAAACGAUGUCAACUAGGUGUUGGGUGGGUAAAACCAUUUAGUACCGUAGCUAACGCGUGAAGUUGACCGCCUGGGGAGUACGGCCGCAAGGUUAAAACUCAAAGGAAUUGGCGG